rnacentral:rRNA from 1 species
UACGAAGGGUGCAAGCGUUAUUCGGAAUUACUGGGCGUAAAGCGUGCGUAGGCGGUUUCUUAAGUCUGCUGUGAAAGCCCUGGGCUCAACCUGGGAAUGGCGGUGGAUACUGAGGGGCUAGAGUGCGGUAGAGGAGGGUGGAAUUCCCGGUGUAGCGGUGAAAUGCGUAGAGAUCGGGAGGAACAUCAGUGGCGAAGGCGGCCCUCUGGACCAGCACUGACGCUGAGGCACGAAAGCGUGGGGAGCAAACAGG